rnacentral:rRNA from 1 species
CCUACGGGGGGCAGCAGUGAGGAAUAUUGGUCAAUGGCCGAGAGGCUGAACCAGCCAAGUCGCGUGAGGGAAGACGGCCCUACGGGUUGUAAACCUCUUUUGUCGGGGAGCAAAGCGCACCACGUGUGGUUCAUUGAGAGUACCCGAAGAAAAAGCAUCGGCUAACGCCGUGCCAGCAGCCGCGGUAAUACGGAGGAUGCGAGCGUUAACCGGAUUUAUUGGGGUUAAAGGGUGCGCAGGCGGAGGUGUAAGUCAGCGGUCAAAUUGCGGGGCUCAACCCCGUACUGCCGUUGAAACUGCAUCCCUUGAGUGCGCGAGAAGUAUGCGGAAUGCGUGGUGUAGCGGUGAAAUGCAUAGAUAUCACGCAGAACUCCGAUUGCGAAGGCAGCAUACCGGCGCGCAACUGACGCUCAUGCACGAAAGCGUGGGUAUCGAACAGGAUUAGAUACCCGGGUAGUC